AAUACGUAGGGCGCGAGCGUUGUCCGGAAUUAUUGGGCGUAAAGAGCUCGUAGGCGGCUUGUCACGUCGGGUGUGAAAGACCGGGGCUUAACUCCGGUUCUGCAUUCGAUACGGGCUAGCUAGAGUUCGGUAGGGGAGAUCGGAGUUCCUGGUGUAGCGGUGAAAUGCGCAGAUAUCAGGAGGAACACCGGUGGCGAAGGCGGAUCUCUGGGCCGAUACUGACGCUGAGGAGCGAAAGCGUGGGGAGCAAACA
rnacentral:rRNA from 1 species